CAAUAGCGUAUAUUAAAGUUGUUGCAGUUAAAAAGCUCGUAGUUGAAUUUCUGGGGGGCGCGCCGGUCUUCCAAGUGUUGUACUGGGCGCAGUCCGCCAUCCUUGUGGAGAGGGCUCGCAUUGAGUUGCGUGUCGGAUCUGCAUCAUUUACUGUGAAAAAAUUAGAGUGUUUAAAGCAGGCUGUCGCUUGAAUACAUUAGCAUGGAAUAAUAAGAUAGGACUUCGGUCUAUUUUGUUGGUUGCGAACCGAGGUAAUGAUUAAUAGGGAUAGUUGGGGGUAUUCAUAUUUAAUUGUCAGAGGUGAAAUUCUUGGAUUUAUGAAAGAUGAACAACUGCGAAAGCAUUUACCAAGGAUGUUUUCAUUAA
rnacentral:rRNA from 1 species